UGAGGAAUAUUGGUCAAUGGGCGCGANCNUGAACCAGCCAAGUAGCGUGCAGGAUGACGGCCCUAUGGGUUGUAAACUGCUUUUGUAUGGGGAUAAAGUCAAUCACGUGUGAUUGUUUGCAGGUACCAUACGAAUAAGGACCGGCUAAUUCCGUGCCAGCAGCCGCGGUAAUACGGAAGGUCCGGGCGUUAUCCGGAUUUAUUGGGUUUAAAGGGAGCGUAGGCCGGAGAUUAAGUGUGUUGUGAAAUGUAGACGCUCAACGUCUGACUUGCAGCGCAUACUGGUUUCCUUGAGUACGCACAACGUUGGCGGAAUUCGUCGUGUAGCGGUGAAAUGCUUAGAUAUGACGAAGAACUCCGAUUGCGAAGGCAGCUGACGGGAGCGCAACUGACGCUUAAGCUCGAAGGUGCGGGUAUCGAACAGGAUUAGAUACCCUGGUAGUCCGCACAGUAAACGAUGGAUGCCCGCUGUUGGUACCUGGUAUCAGCGGCUAAGCGAAAGCAUUAAGCAUCCCACCUGGGGAGUACGACCGCAAGGUUG
rnacentral:rRNA from 1 species